rnacentral:rRNA from 1 species
UACGUAGGGUGCGAGCGUUAAUCGGAAUUACUGGGCGUAAAGUGUGCGCAGGCGGCCAUGCAAGUCGAGUGUGAAAGCCCCGAGCUUAACUUGGGAAUUGCGCUCGAAACUACGUGGCUGGAGUGUGGCAGAGGAAGGUGGAAUUCCACGUGUAGCGGUGAAAUGCGUAGAGAUGUGGAGGAACACCGAUGGCGAAGGCAGCCUCCUGGGCCAACACUGACGCUCAUGCACGAAAGCGUGGGGAGCAAACAGG